rnacentral:rRNA from 1 species
CCUAGGGCGGCAGCAGUGGGGAAUAUUGGACAAUGGGCGAAAGCCUGAUCCAGCCAUGCCGCGUGUGUGAAGAAGGCCUUCGGGUUGUAAAGCACUUUCAGUGGGGAAGAAAGCCUUGGGGCUAAUACCCUCGAGGAAGGACAUCACCCACAGAAGAAGCACCGGCUAACUCCGUGCCAGCAGCCGCGGUAAUACGGAGGGUGCGAGCGUUAAUCGGAAUUACUGGGCGUAAAGCGCGCGUAGGCGGUCUGAUAAGCCGGUUGUGAAAGCCCCGGGCUCAACCUGGGAACGGCAUCCGGAACUGUCAGGCUAGAGUGCAGGAGAGGAAGGUAGAAUUCCCGGUGUAGCGGUGAAAUGCGUAGAGAUCGGGAGGAAUACCAGUGGCGAAGGCGGCCUUCUGGACUGACACUGACGCUGAGGUGCGAAAGCGUGGGUAGCAAACAGGAUUAGAUACCCUAGUAGUC